CCUGAUUGAUUCUGUCAGCGCGAUAUGCUCAAGUAAAAGAUUAAGCCAUGCAUGCUUUGAUUCAUAAAUGAAAUUGCGUACGGCUCAUUAGAGCAGAUAUCACCUUUCUCGGAAUCCUGAAAAGGAUAACUGCGGAAAUUCUGGAGCUAAUACAUGCGACUAUACUCCAACGCAAGGCGGGGUGCAAUUAUUAGAACAGACCAAACGUUUUCGGACGUUGUUUGUUGACUCUGAAUACCGUCGUUUACUGUCAGUUUCGACUGACUCUAUCCGAGAAGGGUGUCUGCCCUUUCAACUAGAUGGUAAUCUAUUGGACUACCAUGGUUGUUACGGGUAACGGAGAAUUAGGGUUCGACUCCGGAGAGGGAGCCUUAGAAACGGCUACCACGUCCAAGGAAGGCAGCAGGCGCGAAACUUAUCCACUGUUGAGUAUGAGAUAGUGACUAAAAAUAUAAAGACUCAUCCUUUUGGAUGAGUUAUUUCAAUGAGUUGAAUAUAAAUUAUUCUUCGAGUAGCAAGGAGAGGGCAAGUCUGGUGCCAGCAGCCGCGGUAAUUCCAGCUCUCCUAGUGUAUCUCGUUAUUGCUGCGGUUAAAAAGCUCGUAGUUGGAUCUAGGUUACGUGCCGCAGUUCGCAAUUUGCGUUAACUGUGGUCGUGACUUCUAAUUUGCUGGAUUGAGGUUGGGUUCGCCCUUCAACUGCCAGCAGGUUUACCUUGAAUAAAUCAGAGUGCUCAAUACAGGCGCUUGCUUGAAUAGCUCAUCAUGGAAUAAUGAAACAGGACUUCGGUUCUUUUUGUUGGUUCUAGAAUUGAUCUAAUGGUUAAGAGGGACAAACCGGGGGCAUUCGUAUCAUUACGCGAGAGGUGAAAUUCGUGGACCGUAGUGAGACGCCCAAUAGCGAAAGCAUUUGCCAAGAAUGUCUUCAUUAAUCAAGAACGAAAGUCAGAGGUUCGAAGGCGAUUAGAUACCGCCCUAGUUCUGACCGUAAACGAUGCCAUCUCGCGAUUCGGAGGGUUCAUGCCCUACCGAGGAGCUACCCGGAAACGAAAGUCUUUCGGUUCCGGGGGUAGUAUGGUUGCAAAGCUGAAACUUAAAGAAAUUGACGGAAGGGCACCACAAGGCGUGGAGCUUGCGGCUUAAUUUGACUCAACACGGGAAAACUCACCCGGUCCGGACACUAUUAGGACUGACAGAUUGAAAGCUCUUUCUCGAUUUGGUGGUUGGUGGUGCAUGGCCGUUCUUAGU
rnacentral:rRNA from 1 species